rnacentral:rRNA from 1 species
AACGAACGCUGGCGGCAGGCUUAACACAUGCAAGUCGAACGCCCCGCAAGGGGAGUGGCAGACGGGUGAGUAACGCGUGGGAAUCUACCCAGUUCUACGGAACAACUGAGGGAAACUUCAGCUAAUACCGUAUACGCCCUACGGGGGAAAGAUUUAUCGGAAUUGGAUGAGCCCGCGUUGGAUUAGCUAGUUGGUGGGGUAAUGGCCUACCAAGGCGACGAUCCAUAGCUGGUCUGAGAGGAUGAUCAGACACACUGGGACUGAGACACGGCCCAGACUCCUACGGGAGGCAGCAGUGGGGAAUAUUGGACAAUGGGCGCAAGCCUGAUCCAGCCAUGCCGCGUGAGUGAUGAAGGCCUUAGGGUUGUAAAGCUCUUUCAGUGGGGACGAUAAUGACGGCACCCACAGAAGAAGCCCCGGCUAACUUCGUGCCAGCAGCCGCAGUAAAAC